rnacentral:rRNA from 1 species
AUACGUAGGGGGCUAGCGUUAUCCGGAAUUACUGGGCGUAAAGGGUGCGUAGGCGGUUUCUUAAGUCAGAAGUGAAAGGCUACGGCUCAACCGUAGUAAGCUUUUGAAACUAGGUGACUUGAGUGCAGGAGAGGAGAGUAGAAUUUCUCGUGUAGCGGUGAAAUGCGUAGAUAUUAGGAGGAAUACCAGUUGCGAAGGUGGCUCUCUGGACUGUAACUGACACGGAGGCACAAAAGCGUGGGGAGCAAACAGGAUUAGAUCCCCUGGUAGUCCACGCCGUAAACGAGGAGUACUAGCUGUCGGGGGUUACCCCCCUCGGUGGCGCAGCUAACGCAUUAAGUACUCCGCCUGGGAAGUACGCUCGCAAGAGUGAAACUCAAAGGAAUUGACGGGG